rfam:Flavobacterium sp. LM5 Flavobacterium_sp_LM5_contig6, whole genome shotgun sequence.
CCCUAGCCCCGAUUGUAGUAGAAAUCCUUGUGAAAAUAAAGACUAAUUUUUCUUGACAAAAAAGAGCGACCAGCGGAAGCUCCUUUUUUGGCUUAGAAAAAUAGUAUUUAUUGAACAAGAUUGUAACGAAAAGCGGGAAAUAGC